AUCCGCGCUCGCUCAGUUUCUGCCUGGAAGUUGCCGCGGGGGAAAAGAGCUAUGAUGGUGGCGCCAUCUGGUGUGAUGCCUUGCAACUAAGUGGCCACCUGUCGUCAAUCUCUGCAACUGCUGGGUGCAAACUACCAACAUGGCGGGCGCUGGUCACUCGGGUGUUGCGGAGCGGCUUCUUCGCCGCGGCAUCGUUGAUUUUCGAAUAAAUUGUUUCUCUCCA